GGAAGUAAAAGUCGUAACAAGGUCUCCGUUGGUGAACCAGCGGAGGGAUCAUUACAGAGUUGCAAAACUCCCAAAACCAUCGCGAACCCUACCUUCAACCGUUGCUUCGGCGGGCGGGCGCCCCGUGCGCCCCCCCCGGCCCCCCUCGCUGGGGGCGCCCGCCGGAGGUGCCCAACUCUUGUUGAUCAUAUGGCCUCUCUGAGUCUUCUGUACUGAAUAAGUCAAAACUUUCAACAACGGAUCUCUUGGUUCUGGCAUCGAUGAAGAACGCAGCGAAAUGCGAUAAGUAAUGUGAAUUGCAGAAUUCAGUGAAUCAUCGAAUCUUUGAACGCACAUUGCGCCCGCCAGUAUUCUGGCGGGCAUGCCUGUUCGAGCGUCAUUUCAACCAUCAAGCCCCCGGGCCUGUGUUGGGGACCUGCGGCUGCCCGCAGGCCCCGAAAACCAGUGGCGGGCUCGCUGUCACCCCGAGCGUAGUAGCAACACCUCGCCCAGGGAGUGCCGCGGGUUCCGGCCGUAAAACCUCGCCCUCGCGGCGAGAACACCCCCCCAAGGUUGACCUCGGAUCAGGUAGGAAGACCCGCUGAACUUAAGCAUAUCAAUAAGCGGAGGA
rnacentral:rRNA from 2 species